rnacentral:rRNA from 1 species
AACGAACGCUGGCGGCAGGCUUAACACAUGCAAGUCGAACGCCCCGCAAGGGGAGUGGCAGACGGGUGAGUAACGCGUGGGAACAUACCCUUUUCUACGGAAUAGCUCUGGGAAACUGGAAUUAAUACCGUAUACGCCCUACGGGGGAAAGAUUUAUCGGGGAAGGAUUGGCCCGCGUUGGAUAAGCUAGUUGGUGGGGUAAAGGCCUACCAAGGCGACGAUCCAUAGCUGGUCUGAGAGGAUGAUCAGCCACAUUGGGACUGAGACACGGCCCAAACUCCUACGGGAGGCAGCAGUGGGGAAUAUUGGACAAUGGGCGCAAGCCUGAUCCAGCCAUGCCGCGUGAGUGAUGAAGGCCUUAGGGUUGUAAAGCUCUUUCACCGAUGAAGAUAAUGACGGUAGUCGGAGAAGAAGCCCCGGCUAACUUCGUG